GCAGUGUCUCUUGAUCUGAAUAUAAACCUGGAAAAAAAAAAAAAAGUUAUUCUCCCAGUUUUGCAGAUCAGGAAAUAGAGGCCCUCACAGUGAGGAGGGAGGGGGAUUCUCACCCAGGAUGGACCCACCCAGGGGUGCGGGCCGGACCACUAGGCUGUACUGCCUCAGGCCCUUUAGGAGAAAAUCCAUCCUCCCAGUCUCCCCAGGUCUCUUGCCUUUGGCCUGCUCUGGUUCCUGUUAUAGAAUGGGGGCUGCAGGUAGGCACGCCUCUGAGCUAGUCCCCCGUCCUUGGGCCGCCUCUCCUAGGCAAACUCCUAUUUAACCGGUGAAUGUAAUUAAAUUAUCGCUUCCUCUCCCGAGUCCUCUGGCUGCACCCCUGUCCUCUUCUCUGUGUUCCUGUGGAGCUCCCAAAGGGAGGGGAGAAAAGGCUCAGGGGACAUGGCUGGGACACGACUUCCAGCCUAGCCCUGUGUGGGCAGAGACCAGGGAACAGUCCGCCUAUUCUCGGCUGGACGUGAAAGGGAGGAUGGCCUUGGCUCAACCCAGGGCAAGGCAGGCUGACUAGCCUCUGGGGUUAUUUAGAUUGGCGGCCAGAGGAGGAGAAGUGGCAGGAGAGAGAAGCAAAGAUUCAGGCUGCCUAGUGUGGCCACUGCCCCGUCAACCCUAAGAUGAUCGCAGCCCCUUUCUGGCCACCGAAUGUGGGCACCCCAGACCUCUGCGGCAAGGCUGGGUGAGAGCUGUCUUUUGUGCACAGGUGCCCCUAGUCCCCCACCCCUAGUAAGCAUUCACACACAGAGGUGAACAGCCCCCUUGUGGGCCUGGAGGCGCCUAGGCCAGGUAGAGAUGACCAGAGUGGGAAGCAGAGAAUCCCCAGUGCCUAGCACAGUGACUGGCACUGAAGGAUUUGUUGGAUGAAUGAAUGAAUGAUUGCCUGACCUCAGGCCCAGGGAGCAAGGUGUGGUGUGCAGGGUGGCUCCUGGGAGGCUUCAGGGAUGGGGAGGGGACGGAGGGGGACUGGGAAAGCCACAAGAAGGCAGCCCCAUCCGAUGACUCACUUGGGAGGGAAACAGAAGGUGGGCUGUUCUGGGGAAACAUCCCCGCUGAUGCCCGGGCACCCAGGAGCUUCCAGGUACCCCCAGAUCACCCCAGUGAAGACACUCCACAAUUUCCCAGGAGGCACCACAGUGGGGCCGUGAAACCCAGGGACUUAGGAUUCAGACACUUCUGGGUACCAGUUCACCCCUCAUUAGCUGGACCAGUUGCCUCAGUUUCCCUGUCUGCACGGCCCAUGGAUAGGACCACAUGCUGCACAGGUUUGCCGGGAAGGACAUAUAAGAGGUGCCCGCUCAGCACAUCCUGUCUGCCAUUGUUACAAACAACAGCAGGGGAGAGCGGGGAGCAGAGCCUGCCAAACGUAAGGCCCUGGUCUCCCGCUCCCCUGUGCUGCUGACCUAUGGGGUGGCUUUGGACAAGGCCCAGCCUCUCUCCAGGCCUUAGUUUCCCCAUUUGUACAGUCAGGCCCUGCUAACUUGGACAGGCUUUGGCCCUUCUCCAAGCCCCACAGAGACAUCAGAGAGCACACACGGCCCUGGGACUGCCGACAGACACACAGGCACGCAUGCACAGGCACACAGACGUAGGCACAGACUCACACUCGGCCCCCACCCUGCGCCCUCCCCACUCACACUCGCUCACACUCAUGCUCACACACCACCCCGCUCCCCCAAAUCUGCUGAGCACCAACGGUUGGUGCGAGCGGGGUUGGGAACGGGAAGAAAAAAGCCCAAGACUCAGCCCAGGAAGAGGGGUGCGGUGGGGGGAGGGCUGGCGAGGGAAAUGACAGCCCGCGGUCCCCCUCGAGUCCUGGCUCAUGAAUAUUAAUGCGGCGGUAAUUAAAAUGCAGGCACGCAGCAGGAUGGAUGCGGCUGCCUCCGGAGCGCGGGGGAGCGCGGCGUCUUUGCAGGCGGGUGGAGCCCGCUCCUUGCCGGCGAAAAGCGGGGCCGGGCUCCGGGGCCUGGGUCCGGGGCGGGCGGGAAGGGGGACAUUUUUCGUGGUUCCCAGCGUCCCGUCCCGGUGUUCCCGCCCCCGCCCCGCGGCCGCCCCUACGCGCCCUAUCCCUUGCCGGGCCGCCCGCCAGGCCGCCGUUUCCCGGAGCCGGCCCCCUCCCGCCCUCGCGGCCGGCUGAUGUCAUCUGCACACAACUUUCCGCUUCCCGGCCCGUCUCGGGGCCCUGAGUCAUCGCCGCCCCCGGCCCCGACGCUGGCCUGCGGCGUCUGUUUGUGCAGAGCGAGGCCCCGCCGGCCGGGCCUGACGUCAGGCUGGCAGGGCCUGGAACGGCCCCGCGCCGCUGCCCCCUGGGGGCAGGACAACACCGCUGGGGGCCGAGGGCAGGGCUAGCCCUCGGAAUCCGGCUUCGAAGCCGGCGCCACCUUGUGCCGGCCGCCUGACCUGAGGCAACUCUGUGCUUUCAACUCUGACCUUCGGUUUCCUCAUCUGCCAGUUGGCAGACGCUCAGCGAAUCUUCCUAGACUCACGGGGCGAAUUGUACAGUUGGGUAAAUCGAGGCCCAGAGAUGGGAAAAGGACCGUCCAAGGUCGUACAGCCACCCGGAAUUACAAUCCUUUCUGCCGGGUCGCACGCUGCCUUCCACGUGUUACCUAAGAGAGCUUUCCAGCCUGUGCUGAGAAAACUGCCCCACAUCAUCUGCAGCAGGACUGGGGCGCUGGAGCCCUGGUCAGGCCACUCUGCUUCUGGCCACAGUUUUCUCAUCUCUAAAAAGGCGCAGUAACAAUAUAAUAACCGUGUGGAGUCCCCCAGGAUACAGGGUCAAAGGAGAGCACAACCAUCGCAGUUUCAAGUCCAUGGGGCAGCCCAGUGCAGGUGCAUGUGACUCAUGAAACUUCAGUGACAUCUGCUCUGUGCCAGACACCGAAGAUGCAGCAGCGAACAGCACUGACCCAACCUGCCCUCCUGUUGCCUACAGGCCAGAUGCUGUUCCAUUGUUUGCUGACUUGCAUUGUUUCGGUGAGAAGUCUGCAGUCUUUUCCAGCAUUGUUUUCCUAUGUAUAAUUGUCUCCUCCCACCCCACUCAUGCCAGCUGCUUUCCACAUUCUCUCUCUUUGAUUUUCAGUAGUCUGCCCAUGAUGUGUCUAAAUAGGACUUUCUUUGCAUUUAUUCUGGCUGGGACUCACUGAACUUUCUGAAUCUGUAGAUUAAUUUUUCUCUUUUCAAUCAACCUUGGAAUAUUUUCAGCAUAAUUUUUUUUCUGUCUUGUUCUCUCUCUUUUCUCCUUGGAAAUGCCAAUUAAAUGUAUGUUAGACUGCUU